AUGGUCAGGAUCCUUCUCUCCAGAGGAAUCACCCUGAAACACACGCUCUGUCAGACAGGGGGCGCUGUGCUACAAUACACUCUGUCAGACAGGAGGCGCUGUGCUACAAUACACUCUGUCAGACAGGGGGCGCUGUGCUACAAUACACUCUGUCAAACAGGGGGCGCUGUGCUACAAUACACUCUGUCAGACAGGGGGCGCUGUGCUACACCACACUCUGUCAGACAGGGGCGCUGUGCUACAAUACACUCUGUCAGACAGGGGGCGCUGUGCUACACCACACUCUGUCAGACAGGGGGCGCUGUGCUACAAUACACUCUGUCAGACAGGAGGCGCUGUGCUACAAUACGCUCUGUCAGACAGGGGGCGCUGUGCUACACCACACUCUGUCAGACAGGGGCGCUGUGCUACAAUACACUCUGUCAAACAGGGGGCGCUGUGCUACAAUACACUCUGUCAGACAGGGGGCGCUGUGCUACACCACACUCUGUCAGACAGGGGGCGCUGUGCUACAAUACACUCUGUCAGACAGGGGGCGCUGUGCUACAAUACACUCUGUCAGACAGGGGGCGCUGUGCUACAAUACACUCUGUCAGACAGGGGGCGCUGUGCUACAAUACACUCUGUCAAACAGGGGGCGCUGUGCUACAAUACACUCUGUCAGACAGGGGGCGCUGUGCUACAAUACACUCUGUCAGACAGGGGGCGCUGUGCUACACCACACUCUGUCAAACAGGGGGCGCUGUGCUACAAUACACUCUGUCAGACAGGAGGCGCUGUGCUACAAUACGCUCUGUCAGACAGGGGGCGCUGUGCUACACCACACUCUGUCAGACAGGGGGCGCUGUGCUACAAUACACUCUGUCAAACAGGGGGCGCUGUGCUACAAUACACUCUGUCAGACAGGGGGCGCUGUGCUACAAUACACUCUGUCAGACAGGGGGCGCUGUGCUACACCACACUCUGUCAAACAGGGGGCGCUGUGCUACAAUACACUCUGUCAGACAGGAGCGCUGUGCUACAAUACGCUCUGUCAGACAGGGGCGCUGUGCUACAAUACACUCUGUCAGACAGGGGGCGCUGUGCUACAAUACACUCUGUCAGACAGGGGCGCUGUGCUACAAUACACUCUGUCAGACAGGGGGCGCUGUGCUACACCACACUCUGUCAAACAGGGGGCGCUGUGUACAAUACCUCUGUCAGACAGGAGGCGCUGUGCUACAAUACCUCUGUCAGACAGGGGGCGCUGUGCUACAUACACUCUGUCAGACAGGGGGCGCUGUGCUACAAUACACUGUCAGACAGGGGGCGCUGUGCUACAAUACUCUGUCAGACAGGGGGCGCUGUGCUACAAUACACUCUGUCAGACAGGGGGCGCUGUGCUACAAUACUCUCAACUGUUCUCUGUCAGACAGGGGGCGCUGUGCUACAAUACACUCUGUCAGACAGGGGCGCUGUGCUACAAUCACACUCUGUCAGACAGGGGGCGCUGUGCUACAAUACACUGUCAGACAGGGGGCGCUGUGCUACAAUACGCUCUGUCAGACAGGGGCGCUGUGCUACAAUACGCUCUGUCAGACAGGGGGCAACCAGGGGGGCGCUGUGCUACAAUACACUCUGUCAGACAGGGGGCGCUGUGCUACAAUACUCUGUCAGACAGGGGGCGCUGUGCUACAAUACACUGUCAGACAGGGGGCGCUGUGCUACAGUACACUCUGUCAGACAGGGGGCGCUGUGCUACAAUACACUGUCAGACAGGGGGCGCUGUGCUACAAUACAUGUCAGACAGGGGGCGCUGUGCUACAAUACACUGUCAGACAGGGGGCGCUGUGCUACAAUACACUCUGUCAGACAGGGGGCGCUGUGCUACAAUACACUGUCAGACAGGGGGCGCUGUGCUACAAUACACUCUGUCAGACAGGGGGCGCUGUGCUACACCACACUCUGUCAGACAGGGGGCGCUGUGCUACAAUACGCUCUGUCAGACAGGUACUGCUGUAGAUGCAGUAUAAGUACAGCUGUAGAUGCAGUAUAAGUACAGCUGUAGAUGCAGUAUAAGUACUGCUGUAGAUGCAGUAUAAUGAGUACUAACUUAAGUACCAAGGCCAGAAGAAGGAGGCGGCCUUCACGCCCUGUUUCUCCGCCGUGAUCCAGAUCUGAAACAGAGACAGGUUUAAAUCAUGAAAGACUCUUUGUCCUUUAAACUCUGAGGAAACGUGGGACUAAAGACGGUUAAAUAAAGAAUCAGCCUGAAGCUGAAGUUCGUUCAUGCUGCAGGUUUUUGGAGCUCCAUUAUUUAGAAAAGGGCAAAAUGAAUUAGUAAAGGGUUAAAUUGAGGACAAUGUUGUUCAUGUUCAGACUAGGGAUGUCACGGUAUGAAAAUUUUACCUCACGGUUAUUGUGACCAAAAUUAUCACGGUUUUCGGUUUUAUCGCGGUAUUUUUUUUAAUGUGUGUUAAUAAGUUCAGAAAGCAUUGAUAGUCCUACACAAACUGAAAUAGUUUCAAAAAAGUGUAACAGUGUUUGUUAUAUUUAAAAAAUCCAGACAAAGCCAUAUCAAAAGUGCAACUUUUCACAUCAAAGUAAAUGAACUAUAACUAUGUAUUGUUGAUCGUUUGGAGGUUAUUACAUGUACUAUUUAUAGCGCCAGAACCGUGUUAGAAUAUUUUCAACUAGAUAAACCCUCAGGAAUAUUGUUCUCAGUUUGUG
ensembl:lncRNA